rnacentral:rRNA from 1 species
CCUACGGGAGGCAGCAGUGGGGAAUCUUGCGCAAUGGGCGAAAGCCUGACGCAGCCAUGCCGCGUGAAUGAUGAAGGUCUUAGGAUUGUAAAAUUCUUUCACCGGGGACGAUAAUGACGGUACCCGGAGAAGAAGCCCCGGCUAACUUCGUGCCAGCAGCCGCGGUAAUACGAAGGGGGCUAGCGUUGCUCGGAAUUACUGGGCGUAAAGGGAGCGUAGGCGGAUAGUUUAGUCAGAGGUGAAAGCCCAGGGCUCAACCUUGGAAUUGCCCUUGAUACUGGCUAUCUUGAGUACGGAAGAGGUAUGUGGAACUCCGAGUGUAGAGGUGAAAUUCGUAGAUAUUCGGAAGAACACCAGUGGCGAAGGCGACAUACUGGUCCGUUACUGACGCUGAGGCUCGAAAGCGUGGGGAGCAAACAGGAUUAGAUACCCUGGUAGUCCACGCUGUAAACGAUGAGUGCUAGUUGUCGGCAUGCAUGCAUGUCGGUGACGCAGCUAACGCAUUAAGCACUCCGCCUGGGGAGUACGGUCGCAAGAUUAAACUUAAAUGAAUUGACGG